UACGUAGGGCGCAAGCGUUAUCCGGAAUUAUUGGGCGUAAAGAGCUCGUAGGCGGUUUGUCGCGUCUGCUGUGAAAAUCCGGGGCUCAACCCCGGACUUGCAGUGGGUACGGGGCAGACUAGAGUGUGGUAGGGGGAGACUGGAAUUCCUGGUGUAGCGGUGAAAUGCGCAGAUAUCAGGAGGAACACCGAUGGCGAAGGCAGGUCUCUGGGCCGAUACUGACGCUGAGGAGCGAAAGCGUGGGGAGCGAACAGG
rnacentral:rRNA from 1 species